GGACGAAGGUUCUUAACUUUUCUGUCAAGUUUGAAAAUUUCAAACUAAAGAGUUAGGAGGAAACACACCACGUGGGUGAGUUGUGACUUAUUCUUUGUGUCUGUGGGGCCAGCCUUUGGCUUGUUUCCCAACCUGCUCCAUGAUGAAAGUGAUGCACUGGUGAUAGAGAGAGGGGCCUGCUACAGUGCUCCUGAUCUGCAUGGCACACAUAGAAAAUCAUAUUUGGACCGUACACUGGGGUAAUCGGGCAAGGCUGGUCCAAACCAUCCACAGACCCACCCAGCCCAGCCGACUGCGGGUCGAGGGGAAAUCAGUACCUGGGCACCACUUAGCGGCCCCAGCACUCACUUUGGUACAGCACCCUGGCUGGAAGGCCAGGCCUGUGGUUAAAGGGGAGUAGACACCAGACCCUCACUGCCUCUUCACCUCCUCAUCAAGGCCUCCCUCGGGGAAUUCGUCUCUCCCUGCUCAAGCCUGUCUCUUACAGCUCUGGAAGCCUAGCGACCGUAUUAGAAUACUCUAUGCUUAGGCCCACUGCUCCCUCGAGAUCCAGAGUUCUUUGAGGGCAGAAGCCCGACAUCCCUCAUCUUUAAGCACAGAUUCUGGCACCCCACAUCCAAAGGUCAGAGAAAGAGAUCCAGCCUGCGAUGCUUAUGAGUGCUGAAGAUGCUCUCAUAAUUGUGGCAUGCUUGGGUCAGAGAUCAUUUCCUCAGAAGCAUUCCAGCUCAGCCCUCACUCCAUCCUAGCUGGUGGUGUCCAAGGCUGAAAAGCCCAAGCUCUGCUACCCAAGCUCUGAGUACCACCAGUGGUGGUACUCGCUGGUGACUGAGACUCAGUUUCCUCUUCUGAACUAGGUCCCUUCCAGCUGACUCUCUAGGGACACCUAUGCUUAGUGCUCCCCUAGUUCCUUCUGUCCAGGGGCCUGGGGCUGACUGAGCAAGGCAGCCUUCCCAUCAGUGGAGAAAAGCCCCAGUGGAAGGAGCGGUUCCUGACACUUUCGAAAGCCCUCCUGGGGAUUCCCAGUCCCAGUGGCCCUGGGAGGGCAAAUGCCAGUGCCAACACCCAGGCUGGACCAGGGACUUUCUUCCAAGGGAAGGGGAGAACCAGGAAGAAGGGUUGGAGAGCUAAACUUAAAAACAGCGUGUGGGCCACCCGGGGAAUGAACCUGGAACAACUUUGAUAAUUUUUAAAAGCCCUUCGAAUAACUCCAGUGUGCACCAGGAUUGAGACACUCC
rnacentral:lncRNA from 10 species